ensembl:miRNA
UCCCUAGCUCUUCUGCCUCCUGUGAAUCUCUCAGUCUUCUUUGUCCUGAGUUUUAGCCGUAACUAGCAGCGGGAACAGAGAAAAGUCUAGCUA